rnacentral:lncRNA from 1 species
GCCGGGACGUUGCGGGGCGAAGAGCUUUAUCACGGGCUGGCGGCGGCGGGAGCGCAGCUCCCUCCCUGCUCCGCCUCCCGGUGCCGAUUAACGCUCCGAGGCGCCUUCGUCACCGCUUUGAAGGGACAGCCGAGCGGCGCCGCCGGGCUGACCCGGUUGUCUGUCAGGUGCCGCGUUGCGCAAGGCGGGCAGCCGGCACCGGCGCUGCGGACGCGGCCCGUAACUGCGGCCGAACUGUGUGGUUGUUUGCACAUUAUACAACAGUGCACAACAUAAUACCACAGUACUGCUUCCCCAGCUAUGGACACAUGGACACAGUCUGACUGACGCCUCUCCAGUGUGUUCCCUUCGUAGGAUAUCCCGGGUUGGAAAGGACCCGCCAAGGAUCGCGGAGUCCAACCCGCGGCUCCUCACAGCACCACCCGAAAUUGGUUUAAAUACCUCAAUAAGAGCGCCUUGAUCAUAACUAGGACAAAACGUUUAAAGAACUUACCAAUAACAACGGGGAAACUGUGAAAGAAAGGCAUUAAUUCUUUUUCUUACAGCGUUCUCACAGCAUUUAAGGCGGGGAGGAAAGUGUUGGAACGCAGAAGUAAAUUUGGUUGUGUCCUUGUCAUCAUGGUUACUGUUCUGACCGCUUCCACUGACCCCUGCAAGGAGCUAUGGGCUAACCAGGCUCUUCUUGGGAAUACUUUCAUCCUGGCACCAAAUAGAAACUGAACUUCUUCCACUGUUACUUCUCACACUGUGACCAGUCAAAAAAGGGACUUGGAGGAGGAAGACAGAAGGAAAAAAGCAACCAAACGAGUCACCACUCCUUUACUUCACAAGAUCCUAAAAUUAAAUGAUGACAAAGAAAUUAACCCAGGGCCUUACCUGGACGGUGCUGUAAACAUGUGCUGGCUUAAUGCUCAGCUGUAAUUAAAGAAACAAGCAAGAUGCCAGGAUGCAUAAAGAAUGGGAUGAGGAGGAGUACAGAAAUAUAGAAGCUGUGUGUGUCAUCUGAGUGGCGUAUUCUCCUGCGUGCUUCUCGCUGAUGUCACACCACACCUCCAUUCCUGAGCAAGGCUCCAAAGCUCAGGGAAGAGAGUGAAAAAAGAGCUGGAUAUUUGUACUGGAUCACUAACAUUGAGAAAAAGUAAUUUUUCUACCCGUGUCGUUUUGGAUGAAGCACACCUCCUAAGUACAUCUGGAAAGCUUUGUCAUAACCUCAUGAAUCCCUGGAUUAGCAAAGGAAAACUAUUCACAGUGUGCCAUAAUGAAAAGCACGCUUUCACAAAAUGAAGCAAGUGAUUCAUUCUUCAAGUGAAGUUCUGCAGAGCGCCGUCUCCUUAAAAAUGACAGUGACAAACUAAUGAUAAUUAUUUGGGUUGCUCCUCCUCUUGCAGUGCUAUUUAGUUAGAAGCAACAGCUUCAAAGUACCUUAUGAGUCCCUGAAUAUAUUUAGGUCCAGUAAUACCUACAUUUGUCUUUGCGCGUUCUACAGCUGGACUCUAGACAUAGGGCCCAGCGUGGCUGCUAUUGCUUCUCAGGGCGUUGGUAACUAACCAGAUGCACUUCAUUUUCCUUUAUGUAACAGCUGUUGCAAAGUCAAAAAGUCAAUAGCAUUGGAGCAUCCAGCAGUUCAAGGAUGUAUCUCACAGUCAGGUGACACACUCUUGCACAUAGGGUUAUUUUUGUGAAUACGUGAGGUAAAAAUUGACAUAUUGUGCUGCACUACACGCACAACCCCAUCAACCUAAUGGGAAGACGGUCAAGCAGCAGAUAAUAAAAAUACUUUCAUGAUCUAAAUGAACGGAUGAACUAAUAAAAAAAUAAAAUUUACUUACCUCAGAAAAUUGAAAGCUUUUUUUGUUGUUGUUUUUUAAGAGAACGGC